rnacentral:rRNA from 1 species
CCAGACUCCUACGGGAGGCAGCAGUGAGGAAUAUUGGUCAAUGGGCGGGAGCCUGAACCAGCCAUGCCGCGUGAAGGCGAGUGCCCUACGGGCGUUAAACUUCUUUUGUGCGGGAGCAAUAAGGGCCACGUGUGGCCCGAUGAGAGUACCGCACGAAUAAGCAUCGGCUAACUCCGUGCCAGCAGCCGCGGUAAUACGGAGGAUGCGAGCGUUAUCCGGAUUUAUUGGGUUUAAAGGGUGCGUAGGCGGAUCCUAAAGCUGGGGGGGAAAUUGGGGGGGUAACCCCCCUCCCCGCCAUUGAAACUGGCGUUCUUGAGUGGAAGAGAAGUAUGCGGAAUGCGUGGUGUAGCGGGGAAAUGCAUAGAUAUCACGCGGAACCCCGAUUGCGAAGGCAGCAUGCCGGCUUCCGACUGACGCUGAAGCACGAAAGCGUGGGGAUCGAACAGGAUUAGAUACCCUCGUAC